GGAUGUGUGGUAUGUGGCUAUACAUUUUGAUUGCAGAUCGAAAAUCUGGGGUUCGAUUCCUCCAUAUCCC
rnacentral:tRNA from 1 species